rnacentral:rRNA from 1 species
UGUUUAUCAAAAACAUGUCUUUUUGAAAAUAAUAUAAAGUCUAACCUGCCCCCUGAUAAUUUAUUAAAGGGCCGCGGUAUAUUGACUGUGCAAAGGUAGCAUAAUCAUUUGUCUUUUAAUUGAAGGCUAGAAUGAAUGGUUGAAUGAAAUAUUAACUGUCUCAUUUUUAAAAAAUUAAAAACUUAGCUUUUUAGUUAAAAGGUUAAAAUAAAUUUAGAGGACGAGAAGACCCUAUAAAUCUUUAUAUUAAAUUAUUUUUUAUAAAAUAGAAAAAUAUUAAAUAAAAUUUAUUUUAAUAUUUUAUUGGGGUGAUAGGAAAAUUAAAAAAACUUUUCAUAAUAAUUAAACAUAAAUUAAUGAAUAAUUGAUCCAUUUUUAGUGAUUAUAAAAUUAAGUUACUUUAGGGAUAACAGCGUAAUUUUUUUGAAGAGUUCAUAUCGAUAAAAAAGAUUGCGACCUCGAUGUUGAAUUAAAGGUUAUUUCUAGAUGCAGAAGUUUAGAGUUUAGGUCUGUUCGACCUUUAAAUCUUUACAUGAUCUGAGUUCAAACCGG